UCCUCUUGACCAGUAUUGGUCCGUUGUUCUUUCCUGCCGACACUUUGACGCUUAUGGGUCCGCUACCUGCCAGCAACACAGGGUCCCUCACGUACAUGGCCCUAGGGCACUAUGGGGUAUCACGGGGCAGCUGGUUGUCCAACUGGCUCAUAUUCAAAGAUUUUUUCUUUUUUUCCUUUUUUUCCCCUUGAUCAUCUGUCACAGAACGCAGCACACAAGGGCCGUCGAAGGGACAUAGACGUCCUGAGCGCGCAGUCCGCCCAUCCAAGGACUGCCUAGAACGACCUGCUAUACUGACCACACAAAUACAAACUGAGAGUUGGUGAGGUGAUCGUUUUUUACAUCACAACAGGAACCUUUUCAUCCCCUUC